CAGCCACGAUCGACUCUACUCCAAACUUCUAUUGCAAGCGGACUUCAUCCGAGCUCCUACAAGAGCCGGACUCCGUCCGAACUUCUACAGUGGAUGGAUCCCAAACGAACUUCUACAACGGAUGGGCUCCAUCAGUCGGAUCUCUAUCCCAAACUUCUUCCGAACUUUGUCAAUGACCGAGCUUCUCCAGUAGUGGGACUUCUACAGUAACUA
rnacentral:lncRNA from 1 species